UGCCCAGCAACUCCUAUCCCUACCUCCUCGUGAUACUGACCGGAGUACGAGUAACCUUAGGGUAGA
rnacentral:ribozyme from 1 species